rnacentral:rRNA from 1 species
GAGGAAUCUUGCGCAAUGGGGGAAACCCUGACGCAGCAACGCCGCGUGAGUGAGGAAGGUCUUCGGGUCGUAAAGCUCUGUCAGGCGGGAAGAAAUGCAUGGAGGUGAACAGCCGCCAUGCUUGACGGUACCGCCAGAGGAAGCACCGGCUAACUCCGUGCCAGCAGCCGCGGUAAUACGGGGGGUGCAAGCGUUGUUCGGAAUCAUUGGGCGUAAAGAGCGUGUAGGCGGCUUGGUAAGUCAGAUGUGAAAGCCCUGGGCUCAACUCAGGAAGUGCAUUUGAAACUGCCAGGCUCGAGUAGGGGAGAGGGAAGUGGAAUUCCUGGUGUAGAGGUGAAAUUCGUAGAUAUCAGGAGGAACACCGGUGGCGAAGGCGACUUCCUGGCCCUAUACUGACGCUGAGACGCGAGAGCGUGGGUAGCAAACAG